rnacentral:rRNA from 1 species
CAUCCAGACUCCUACGGGAGGCAGCAGUGGGGAAUAUUGCACAAUGGGGGAAACCCUGAUGCAGCAACGCCGCGUGAGUGAAGAAGUCAUUCGUGAUGUAAAGCUCUAUCAGCAGGGAAGAAAAUGACGGUACCUGACUAAGAAGCCCCGGCUAACUACGUGCCAGCAGCCGCGGUAAUACGUAGGGGGCAAGCGUUAUCCGGAUUUACUGGGUGUAAAGGGAGCGUAGACGGCGGUGCAAGCCAGAUGUGAAAGCCCGGGGCUCAACCCCGGGACUGCUCUUGGAACUGCGCGGCUGGAGUGCAGGAGGGGCAGGCGGAAUUCCUGGUGUAGCGGUGAAAUGCGUAGAUAUCAGGAGGAACACCGGUGGCGAAGGCGGCCUGCUGGACUGCGACUGACGUUGAGGCCCGAAAGCGUGGGGAGCAAACAGGAUUAGAUACCCUCGUA